rnacentral:rRNA from 1 species
CGUCUAGGCGGGGAGUUAAGUUAGGUGUGAAAUCCAUGGGCUCAACUCAUGAACUGCAUCUAAAACUGAUUCUCUUGAGUUCGGGAGAGGAAAGCGGAAUUCCCGGUGUAACGGUGAAAUGUGUAGAUAUCGGGAGGAACACCAGUGGCGAAGGCGGCUUUCUGGCCUAGAACUGACGCUGAAGCGCGAAAGCGCGGGUAGCGAACG